UACGAAGGGGGCUAGCGUUGUUCGGAAUUACUGGGCGUAAAGCGCACGUAGGCGGAUAUUUAAGUCAGGGGUGAAAUCCCAGAGCUCAACUCUGGAACUGCCUCUGAUACUGGGUAUCUUGAGUAUGGAAGAGGUGAGUGGAAUUGCGAGUGUAGAGGUGAAAUUCGUAGAUAUUCGCAGGAACACCAGUGGCGAAGGCGGCUCACUGGUCCAUAACUGACGCUGAGGUGCGAAAGCGUGGGGAGCGAACAGG
rnacentral:rRNA from 1 species